UACGUAGGGCGCGAGCGUUGUCCGGAAUCAUUGGGCGUAAAGAGCUCGUAGGCGGCCGGUUGCGUCUGCUGUGAAAUCCCGGGGCUUAACCCCGGCGUGCAGUGGAUACGGGCUGGCUGGAGGCAGGCAGGGGAGAAUGGAAUUCCCGGUGUAGCGGUGAAAUGCGCAGAUAUCGGGAGGAACACCGGUGGCGAAGGCGGUUCUCUGGGCCGAUACUGGACGCUGAGGAGCGAAAGCGUGGGGAGCGAAUGGG
rnacentral:rRNA from 1 species